UACAGGUAGCCCGAGUGGUAUCCACGAAUAUUGAGCCUAAAGCGCUCGUAGCCGGUUUUGCAAGUCUUCUGUGAAAUCCUCUGGCUCAACCAGAGGGCGUGCAGGAGAUACUACAAGGCUAGGGAAUGGGGGAGGUAACGGGUACGUUAGGGGGAGGGGUAAAAUCCUGUAAUCCUUAACGGACCUUCAGUAGCGAAAGCGCGUUACCAAAACAUGUCCGACGGUGAGGAGCGAAGGCUAGGGGAGCAAAUCG
rnacentral:rRNA from 1 species